rnacentral:rRNA from 1 species
AAAUCCGGUUUGGGAGGGUCUCGCGACCUAUCAGCUUGUUGGCGGGGUAAUGGCCCACCAAGGCGUCGACGGGUAGCUGGUCUGAGAGGAUGAUCAGCCACACUGGGACUGAGACACGGCCCAGACUCCUACGGGAGGCAGCAGUGGGGAAUCUUGCGCAAUGGGCGAAAGCCUGACGCAGCAACGCCGCGUGCAGGAUGAAGGCCUUCGGGCUGUAAACCGCUUUCAGCAGGAACGAAAAUGACGGUACCUGCAGAAGAAGGAGCGGCCAACUACGUGCCAGCAGCCGCGGUGACACGUAGGCUCCAAGCGUUGUCCGGAUUUAUUGGGCGUAAAGAGCUCGUAGGCGGUUUAGUAAGUCGGGUGUGAAAACUCUGGGCUUAACCCAGAGACGCCAUCCGAUACUGCUGUGACUUGAGUUCAGGAGGAGAGCGGGGAAUUCCUAGUGUAGCGGUGAAAUGCGCAGAUAUUAGGAGGAACACCGGUGGCGAAGGCGCCGCUCUGGACUGAAACUGACGCUGAGGAGCGAAAGCAUGGGUAGCAAACAGGAUUAGAUACCCUGGUAGUCCAUGCCGUAAACGGUGGGCACUAGGUGUGGGUUUCAACUAACGAAAUCCGCGCCGUCGCUAACGCAUUAAGUGCCCCGCCUGGGGAGUACGGUCGCAAGACUAAAACUCAAAGGAAUUGACGG